UACGGAGGGAGCUAGCGUUGCUCGGAAUUAUUGGGCGUAAAGCGCACGUAGGACGGCUUAGCAAGUCGGAAGUGAAAGCCCUCGGCUCAACCAAGGAAGUGCUUUCGAAACUGCUGAGCUUGAGUACUUAAGAGGAUCGCGGAAUUCCCGGUGUAGAGGUGAAAUUCGUAGAUAUCGGGAGGAACACCAGUGGCGAAGGCGGCGAUCUGGGAAGAUACUGACGCUGAGGUGCGAAAGCGUGGGGAGCAAACAGG
rnacentral:rRNA from 1 species